rnacentral:rRNA from 1 species
UACGGGGGGAGCAAGCGUUGUUCGGAUUUACUGGGCGUAAAGGGCGGGUAGGCGGCCACCGCAAGUCGACUGUGAAAUCUCCGGGCUUAACUCGGAACGGUCAGCUGAUACUGCUUUGCUAGAGUGCAGAAGGGGCAAUCGGAAUUCUUGGUGUAGCGGUGAAAUGCGUAGAUAUCAAGAGGAACACCUGAGGUGAAGACGGGUUGCUGGGCUGACACUGACGCUGAGGCGCGAAAGCUAGGGUAGCAAACGGG